rnacentral:rRNA from 1 species
AACGAACGCUGGCGGCAGGCCUAACACAUGCAAGUUGAGCGAGGACUUCGGUCCUAGCGGCGGACGGGUGAGUAACGCGUGGGAACGUGCCCUUUGCUUCGGAAUAGCCCUGGGAAACUGGGAGUAAUACCGGAUGAGCCCUUUGGGGGAAAGAUUUAUCGGCGAAGGAUCGGCCCGCGUUGGAUUAGGUAGUUGGUGGGGUAAUGGCCUACCAAGCCGACGAUCCAUAGCUGGUUUGAGAGGAUGAUCAGCCACACUGGGACUGAGACACGGCCCAGACUCCUACGGGAGGCAGCAGUGGGGAAUCUUAGACAAUGGGGGAAACCCUGAUCUAGCCAUGCCGCGUGAGCGAUGAAGGCCUUAGGGUUGUAAAGCUCUUUCAGCUGGGAAGAUAAUGACGGUACCAGCAGAAGAAGCCCCGGCUAACUCCGUG